rnacentral:rRNA from 1 species
GAUGAACGCUGGCGGCGUGCCUAAUACAUGCAAGUCGAGCGAACGGACGAGAAGCUUGCUUCUCUGAUGUUAGCGGCGGACGGGUGAGUAACACGUGGAUAACCUACCUAUAAGACUGGGAUAACUUCGGGAAACCGGAGCUAAUACCGGAUAAUAUUUUGAACCGCAUGGUUCAAAAGUGAAAGACGGUCUUGCUGUCACUUAUAGAUGGAUCCGCGCUACAUUAGCUAGUUGGUAAGGUAACGGCUUACCAAGGCAACGAUGCAUAGCCGACCUGAGAGGUUGAGCGGCCACACGGGAACUGAGACACGGUCCAGACGCCUACGGGAGGCAGCAGCAGGGAAUCUUCCGCAAUGGGCGAAAGACUGAAGGAGCAACGCAGCGUGAGUGAUGAAGGUCUUCGGAUCGUAAAACUCUGUUAUUAGGGAAGAACAAAUGUGUAAGUAACUGUGCACAUCUUGACGGUACCUAAUCAGAAAGCCACGGCUAACUACGUG